rnacentral:rRNA from 1 species
UGGGGAAUAUUGCGCAAUGGGGGGAACCCUGACCCAGCAACGCCGCGUGAAGGAAGAAGGUUUUCGGAUUGUAAACUUCUGUCCUUGGUGAAGAGGAAGAGACGGUAGCCAAGGAGGAAGCCCCGGCUAACUACGUGCCAGCAGCCGCGGUAAUACGUAGGGCGCGAGCGUUGUCCGGAUUUAUUGGGCGUAAAGAGCUCGUAGGCGGUUUGUCGCGUCUGCUGUGAAAUCCUCUGGCUUAACUGGGGGCGGGCAGUGGGUACGGGCAGACUGGAGUGCGGUAGGGGAGACUGGAAUUCCUGGUGUAGCGGUGGAAUGCGCAGAUAUCAGGAGGAACACCGGUGGCGAAGGCGGGUCUCUGGGCCGUUACUGACGCUGAGGAGCGAAAGCAUGGGGAGCGAACAGG